AUUUCAUGCCACUCAUGUGCGUCUCCGUGGAUCUGAAAGACACCGUUUUAUCGAUUGGUCAGUUUAGGUUCGCUGGUUCCUCGUUAGCUUUCCCAAUUCCACCACUUGGGAGAUGACCCAAACUCACUUCGGCUGCGUUCAGUCCAAUUCCCUCGUUAGCAUCUUCCCUCAGACCAACCUCAGUUCUCGUUUGUUAGUUGCCUUUACGAACUCGCGAAGAGUACAGUAUUAAUGUUUCGGUUACUGCUAGCGAACAUUAGCUAGCCAUCAAGUAGGCUAGGUAAUAUUUGCGCUACAGUUUGGAAAGGUGACUAACUAGCUAGCGCUCACUGGCUAGCUAUCCAACAACGUAAGCGAAGGAAGCGUUAAGACGAAGAAGGCGUUUUGAUCCAUUUUUGUGUUUUAAUCUAAAAAGAUGAAGGUUACCGUGGAUUUUGAAGAAUGUCUUAAGGAUUCGCCCCGAUUCCGGGCUACCAUAGAGGAAGUGGAGGCUGAUGUGUGUGAAUUGGAAUCCAAGCUGGACAAGCUGGUGAAGCUGUGCAUUGGAAUGAUUGACGCGGGGAAAGCGUAUAACACAGCCAAUAAGCAGUUUGUGGGCGGGAUCCGGGAGCUGGCCCAGCAGUCUGCCAGUGAUGAGGUCAUCGAGACCAGUCUGACCAAGUUUGCCGAAAGCCUGCAGGAGAUGAUCAACUACCACACGAUCCUGUUUGACCAAGCCCAGAGGUCGAUCAAGUCCCAACUCCAAACGUUUGUGAAAGAGGACCUGCGGAAGUUCAAGGAGGCGAAGAAGCAGUUUGACCGGGUGAGCGAGGAGAAGGAGGCGGCGCUGGCGAAGAACGCCCAGGCGCCGCGCAACAAGCCACACGAGGUGGAGGAGGCCACCAACAUCCUGACCGCCACGCGCAAGUGCUUCCGCCACAUCGUCCUGGACUACGUGCUGCAGAUCAACGUGCUGCAGUGCAAGAGAAGAUCUGAGAUCCUUAAAUCGAUGCUGUCCUUCAUGUAUGCCCACCUGACCUUCUUCCACCAGGGCUACGACCUGUUCAGUGAGCUGCAGCCCCUCAUGAAGCAGCUCGGAGGACAGCUGGACCAGCUGAUGGUGGAUGCGGACAAGGAGAAGAAAGAUAUGGAGCUGAAGCACUCUACCAUCCAGAAAAAGAGACUGGAGUUGGAGAUCUCUGCUGUAGAGACUGGAGUUGGAGAUCUCUGCUGUAGAGACUGGAGCUGGAGAUCUCUGCUGUGGAGGCGAGAGUUGGAGAUCUCUGCUGUAGAGGCAGUGCUGCAGGACGUGGCAGAGUGUGACGUGUUGCCCGACGGCCGCUGCUUUAGUGCGUGGAGGUCCACCGCUGACUUCUCGAAUGAGGACACCAAACUGGAGUACAAUGUGGAUGCAGACAAUGGAAUCGUCAUGGAGGGGUACCUGUUUAAGAGGGCCAGCAAUGCCUUCAAAACAUGGAACAGGCGAUGGUUCUCCAUUCAGAACAACCAGCUAGUUUAUCAGAAGAAAUUCAAGGAUAACCCCACGGUGGUGGUGGAGGAUCUGCGGCUCUGCACCGUCAAACACUGCGAGGACAUCGAGCGCCGCUUCUGCUUCGAGGUCGUGUCCCCAACCAAGAGCUGUAUGAUGCAGGCCGACUCAGAGAAGCUCAGACAGGCCUGGAUCAAAGCCGUCCAGAACAGCAUCGCCAGCGCUUUCCGGGAUAAGGGGGAGGACGCAGAGAAGCUGGACAAGAAGCCGUCGGCCUCCACAGCGAGCCUGGACCCGGAGGCGAAGGAGCGCUGCGUGCGGGGGGAGGGGGCGCUGCAACGGGUUCUCUGCGUCCCGGGAAACGCCGUCUGCUGCGACUGCAGCCAGCCGGACCCCAGCUGGGCCAGCAUCAACCUGGGCAUCACCCUCUGCAUCGAGUGCUCCGGAAUACACAGGAGUCUGGGUGUUCACUUCUCCAAGGUGAGAUCGCUGACUCUGGACACCUGGGAGCCGGAGCUGCUCAAGGUGAUGUGUGAGCUGGGGAAUGGGGUCCUGAACCCGAUAUAUGAAGCACGUCGAGAAGAAAUGAAAGUCAAGAAGCCGGAACCCGGAGAUCCAAGGCAGGAGAUCGAGGCCUACAUCAGAGCCAAGUACGUUGACAGGAGGUUCGCCCGCAUUCCGUCACCUGCCCAGCAGAGGUCAAAGGUCAUCAUCCUGAGCAAGCAGGAGAAGCGGCUGAGCAUCAGUUCAGAGCACCUGUCGCCCAGGCCGGCCCCGCCCACGCCCAAGCUCCACGCCACCUCUGACACAGCAGCCUCAGCCAGCCAAGGCAAGGCCCGUCGAGACUCUCUCUUCUGUCCUGACGAGCUCGACUCGCUCUUCUCCUACUUUGACACCUCUUCGAAGCAGUGGAGUAUAAAGGUGAAGAGUCCGGACAGCGGCAUCCAGAACAGCGCUGAGGGGAGCCGGGAGAUGCUGGCGACCACGCCCUCCACCAGCAGCCUGGGCGACCCGGAGACAGAGUCGACGCUGCCGCUGGCGGGUUCGCGGCGGGGCUCAGCGCUGAUCCCGGAGGCUAAAGACUGCUCCCCCGGGCUGCAGCUGUACUGGGCCGCCGCCGCCCGCGAUUUCCCCAGCAUGGCCGAGGCGCUGGCCCACGGAGCCGACGUUAACUGGGUCAACGAGCAGGACGACAGGAGGACCCCACUGAUGAUGGCCGUGCAGGGGGGUUGCCUGGUGACCUGUGAGUUCCUGCUCCAGAACGGGGCCAACGUGAACCAGCAGGACGCACACGGCCGGGGCCCCCUGCACCACGCCACCAUCUUGGGCCACACUGGGCAGGUGUGCUUGUUCCUGAAGAGAGGGGCCAGUCAGAACGCCGUGGACGUGGAGGGGCGGAGUCCUCUGUCCAUCGCCGUGGAAGCAGCCAAUGCUGACAUCGUCACCCUGUUGCGGCUGGCCAAGAUGAACGAGGAGAUGCGGGAGUCGGACGGACCCUACGGACAGACAGGUCAUUACUCCGCCCACAGCCCCACCGAAAGGCAGUACAGGAAGUGCAUCGAGGAGUUUAUCAGCCUCCAGCUGGGGGAGUCCUGACUGCCCAACCGCACAGGAGCCCAUAGCCUAGCUAAAGACUGUAGUGUGUCUCAUCUGAUAGUGUGUGUGUGUGUGUGUGCGUAUGUGUGUGUCUGUUUUUAGCCAGUGUUAGCCGGGUGUGUGAGGGAAGAUGCACUUUAAAGCAGAGAAAGGUACCAGAGGUCGUUCAGGGUCGCGGGUGCCAGCCAAAGCUGUAUAAAGUAUGAGCGUCAGAGCUGUGAUCUCAGGGUGCUCUGCGUUACCCUCUCCUGCGGAGCAGAGCAGUGCAUUGUGGGAAUGUACACGUACUGGUGGUGAACACAGGGGAGAGGAAACGCAGCAGUGUGAAGCGGCUCAGUCGGGCUCAGUGCAGUCUGUGUGAGCCGUGACAGUCUACUGGGGUCUGAAAGUCUGCAGAAGACAUCCCCUCUAGCCUGAGAAAGACGAUCAGCGUGCACUGAGGGCCCGAUUUACUAACUUUAGCAUGUGCACCUUUUAGCGCACGCAAAAUUAAUAACACAACCAAGUCAGUGUUGCAAUAGAGUCCUUCAGUGUUCCAGUAGAGUCCCUCUGUGUUCCACGAGAGUCCCUCAGUGUUCCAAUAGAACCCUUCAAUGUUCCACUACAGUCUCUCAGUGUUCCAAUAGAACCCUUCAAUGUUCCACUACAGUCUCUCAGUGUUCCAAUAGAACCCUUCAAUGUUCCACUACAGUCUCUCAGUGUUCCAACCAAGUCACUCAGUGUUCCACUGGAAUUCUUCCAUUUUGUUCACUGCCUGUGUCUUCAUAGAAAUCCACAUCUUAUUUCAUAUAUUUGUGUGGUUGCAGCAUAUUGAGUUCUGGCCUAAUGCUUAGUGUUCAAUUUCACUCAUUUUAAAUUGUUUAUUGUUGUACAACUCCUUGCUCAGAUUUUAAUUUGAGACAAAUUUAACUGUAACUAAAAUCUAUAAUAAUAAUAAUAAUAAUAUUUUUUAAAGAUUUUUAAAUGACAUAUUUUUUCUUAAUGGCUGAAACCGUUUAGGCAUGAGAGUUGUGCCGGUAGGUUUUUGCGUGUAUAUAUUUCUGUAUGUUGUUGGUAGAGGGAAGGAAUUUAAACCCAAAUUUAGGAGCCUGAGUUCAACACAGAGGGCAUUUGAUAAUGUAAAUGCAAAUGCAGAGGCUUUGAUAAUGUAAAUGAAAAUGCAGAGGCUUUGAUAAUGUAAAUGCAAAUGCAGAGGCUUUGAUAAUGUAUUAUUCAUCACUCUGGUCUAAACACACGAGUCGUCCAACAUUCAAAGUAUAGUAUUCAAGAUGGAGUCUGCGUGCGUACGUGCCUGUGAGCGUCUCUGUGAGGCUCUUAGAAGGUUUCACGCUAGCUUUAUCUUAAGUUUGUUAUUAGAGUUAAAAUGUUUGAAAGUCUGCUUGAUUUAUCUUUCCGUGGUAUAAACAGUCAUACCCAGAGCAGCUUCCUCGAGUAGCCAGUAGGAGUGUCUGGCCUGCCAAUCACUGGUGCCUGUGGGGGGGGGGGGGGGGGGUCACAGACGUUCAGGGCUGUCCAGAGAAGCCCGAUCAGUCCUGUCCCAGCAGCCCUGAGAGAAUUAAGGCUCCUCGGAACGGGGCUGAUAAACUUCAGCUCUGGGAAUGGGGGUGGGAGUGGGGGUGGGGGGGGCUGCACUUUCUGCUGGGGUUUUUGUGUAUUUGGGUGCGUAAGCACCUUAUCUAAGUCUAAAAUCUGAUUCAAAGGAAAAACUAAAAAAAAAUUUUCCUGCAGUUUGACAUUCCCUGCUUGAGAAUCUCCAUCUGGAAUACAUGCAGUACCCGUUAUCACCACAGGAGGGAGUAUACUUACAUACUAAAUACCUCCACUGUCACUGAAGAGAUGGAGCAAGCAAGUUACCUUAAGGCUGCUUGACAGAGAGAAGGGCAUGAGGAACCCCCCCCCCACCCCCCCAAGCCCCGUGAACCAGGCCUCCAUCACUGGGGCUGCACACGGUCACUUUACUUGCGAGCGGACGCCAUUUUGUCUCUCUGUCAGUCACAGUUUUAGUGUAAUAAACCCAGCUCUUCACUGGUCGCUCUCCUCUGUGUAACGAGUGUAUAUCUAAUGUGCGUAAUAGCCCAAAGGGAAAGAAAGAGUGGGUAAAACAUAUUGCUGUGCCCUGGACAAGGUAGCUGUACAGUGCUCAGUGCUCUGAUUCUGCUUUGGUUCUGAACUGUACUGGAAAAUACAUGAAAUAUUACACAUGCUAAUCCAUCACCCUGCAGCACGCCGCUGGCUUGUAGAAGUGGUUUGUGGUGGAAAUGGGAACCGUUUCUGUCAUUUCUGUCUGUUUCCAGCCAUUUAUUUUACAGAAAUGAUGUGUCGGGUGUUAAAAAACAAAAAAAAAGAUUUGGCCACCCACGUGCUGACAGCUGAAUCUGUUUAUUGGAACAGAAUCCUGUCGAGAGCAGAGGUCAAUGUAUUUCUGCUCUGGAAAAACUCCUUUGAUUUAGAUUUUCUCCCUGGAGGCCUUAAGAUGGUCCCUCAGAUAAUGUGAUGAACAUGUGGGUUAUCAAGUUUUAUUUGGGUGAUAAAAAAAGAGUGUUUGUCUGUGGAUCCAAAGGAUUUGGCUGUAAUCACUCCUGCUGUUUUUAAAGUCUGCAGUAUGGUGGCCUGUGGGACUAUUUCAUGUUUUUAAUUUAAUUUAAUUUUUUUUACUUAAAAAAAAUUUUUUUUUUUUUAAAGCUCUUAAAUUUUCUGUUUCUAUCUCUGAUUCUGCUUGUUCUUCUUGUUGCUUUCCUGAACCCUCUCCCUGGAGUUAGUGCCUUUGCUCUUAUCUGCUUUCUUCUGUUCACUGGCCAAUGCGACUGAACCUUUUGUACAUAAAUCCUGCACUUUAAAUAGACCACGAUUGCCGACUCAUGAAUCUUGCUUUGGCUUGUCAUUUGUGUCUAAUUAUGAUUAUGGUUACUCUGUGAAACGCACAGGACGCAGAUUUACUUCACUCCAGGGAUGGUUUAAAAUGAGUCCUGUUCAGAGUGAUUUGUUAGCAGGUUCGGGUUUGUUUGCACAUGCUUGGUGGGGGGGCAGAGGUGGGGGGGGGAUUUACGCGGCACUUUAAGUUCUGGCUCUGAGGUCCAGCUCUGUUCCUUCCUCUAACCUGCUUAACCUCCUUCUCUCUGCUGAGCUGCUGCCACGCCCACAGGGGACGAGACCUACCAGGACAUUUUCCGAGAUUUUUCCCAGAUGGCGUCGAACGACCCGGACAAGCUGAACCGCUUCCAGCCGCAUGACGCUCCGCGGCUGUGAGAGGGGAGCUGGGCUCCGGGCCGAGCCCAGGUACAGGCCCCGAGGCCUGGGCAGGUGCUGCCGUCCCCCUGGGUGGGCUGCUGGAGGUGCCCCCCCCCCCCCGGGGCUGAUACCCCCGUCUCUGCUGGACUUUGCCCCAGAACCUCAACUCCCCCCCCAAACGGACAAUACGUUUCAAUUUUUUAAAAUGACAUUUUUUGCUCUUUCUUUUUUUUUUUUUUCCUUUUUAGUAAAUUAUUCUUGAGUUGAUUUUAAUGGUCAACAAAAAUGAAUAGCCUUUGUAGAAUAUGUAUUUCUCCACAAUGGGGGGGAAGGGGGGGAUGAAAUUAAAACCUGAAAUGUCAACUCGAGAAUGGAAGCGCUGAAAAUGUUUUAAAAUAUCCCGGUGUUUAUACCUGGAUGUAUUCGCAGGCUCCCAACGCCUCGUAAACACGCCACGCGUUUUAACAGCUGCUGUGUAUUUGACGGCCCGGGAGAUCAAGGGCUUCCCCGCCUGACUGUUAGCUUUAUAAAGUUUACACUCAUAUGGCUUCUUGACGGGGUCCCUGCAUUUACAUCUCGGUCCCGUUUCCUGGAACACAAGGACGGGAGCACAGCGUGUCCAUAAGUGAUCUCCCACGUGUUUAAACUUCCAUGGACUUGCGCUCGGGAGAGAAGGCUCGUCCCAUCAGAGGUCUGGGGGCACAGUUGUUAGAUUGGGGCCUUAGAGCCACGCGCAGGGCAACUGGUCCAUAUACCAGGAUCAUAAUAUUGCCGUGAUUAUGUUUUUAUAUCUCUUGCCAUCUCUGUGUAUGUGCAUUUAUUAUGUACACAUGUACUGUAGCUAUAUUGUAAUUGUUUUUUUUUGUUGUUUUUUUUUAAUCCAGUGAAGUGCCCUUUGAUAUGUUAUGCUAGGAAUUAUGGCCAUUUUGAGAUGCUAGAACAGGAGGUACUAGACCUGGAGUAUCUUGGCUGACGAUUUUGUAAUCUCCCUAGGCAGUGGUCCACUUUACAUCAGUUUUAGAUAUUCCAUUGUCUGUUUGCAAAGUACAGAGUUACAGAGUGUGUGGUCGACUAGCUUGGACACCCGGUCUGCUACAAAACAAACUCAUGUUCAGACAUUCCUAAAUGCUGAAGUCCCCUUCAUUGGGAGGUUUUAUAGACCACCGUCCUUUUGUAGCCUGAUGAGAUUUAAGAAAAUGGCUGUAGGUUGGGGAUUAGUUAAUGCAAAUCAAAUGUAAGUACUCAGUGAAACAGUGUAAUUCCGCUCCGAAAUGUGUUUAGCAAGCAGCAGUAGGUUCACUGUGACUCGCUUCCCCAGCACGACUUCUUUGUGAUUAUUUUAACAAACCAGGAAGGUUGUAAACACUUGGCCAUUUUAGAUCUCUUACUGAUUGUGAAGACAGAAAUGUUUGCGUCUUUAAAUUCCAGUUUCUGUGAAGGCUUUCUAAAGUCAGAGUCUACAGCAGUAAUUAAUUUAUUUUAUUUUUCCCUGGGAUGAGUCUUUAAAUAUCCGAGCCUUAAGUUGCUGUGUUUUUUUGCUCGGUGUAUCACUGAUAUGUCAUGUCUUGGCUCAUUCAGUUUUUGGCACAAAGAAAUUAAAAAGUUUUUAUUAUUUUAAUGUUUUAGUUUUUUGCGGUGACAGCGAGAGGAGGGCAGUAUGCUGGCCUUUGUUUUUAAAGCUGAAAGAUACUUAGAGCUCCCUGUGGGCCUCUGUCCAGUGUGUUUAAUUUAAAGCCUGGUCUGGACAUCAUUCCCACCCCGGUGGUCUUCCCGUGCUCUGUAAUUAAAGCGCGGGCGCAGGGACUCGUCUUUAGAGUGCGGGCCUCCAGUGGGGUUUCUGAAAUGGUGGCGGGUUUUCCCACCUGCGCCACAAGUCAGCGAAAAAGAGACAGGACGUGCAGGCGGGGGUGCUCUCAUCUGUAAUAGGGACUCAGCUAAUGAGCCCCCGCCCCCUCCUCCUCUGGAGAGGAAGCCUCGCUACUUGCGUAUUCGCGUGGCCGGCCGGUCCUAGACGAUGACGCGCCUGCACCUGCUGAAUCUCAGCGCGUGGUCAGAGGAGGCGUGGUCACGGUAAUUAACGGCUAUGCGAGACGCGCGUGGAUCGGCUCUCACUCAAAUGAAGUGAAACGCAGCUACCUGUGUUAGAGCUAUUCUCUUGUGCUGGAAUACGGACUGUAGUGAGAAUUGUUUCUUGGUUCACUAAAUGUUUUCAAAUAUGUAUCAAGAACAGAUGACUCUGAUGCUAAAGAGUGGGAUGUAAAUUAUGUAUAUAAUGUACAUAAUCUAUGAAUAUAUGCUUCUUUAAAUAAAUCACUGUGGUACUUGAGUCAUUAAAAAUAA